rnacentral:lncRNA from 1 species
UCCACACGAACGUUAGUGCGUCUACCGGAUUACAAAAAAAAAUUACGCAGCCCAAAAUACCCCCCAAGCGUCCCAGUAAAUGCAAAACAUAUCAUAUACGCUAGUUGAACUGGCGUAUCUCUAAUCUAUGUGAAGCCCUCUUCUGUUUAUCGAGAAUUACUAAACCCUCGUUCGCUAGAAUUACUAAACCCUCGUUCGCUACCACUCCAUGUGAAGCCCUCUUCCCUGCGACUUAGCCGACUGUGAUCUGCGAUUACUAAACCCUAGUACGCUACCACUCCAUGUGAUCACCUCUUCCCUGUGACUUAGCCGACUGUGAUCUGCGAUUACUAAACCCUCGUACGCUACUUGUUCAACUGCGAUAACCUUUUGCCCUGCGACUGUUGAACCGCCGAGUGAAUGACAUUUACAGGUAGAAGCACAUGAAGAUAAGAUUACUAAUUGCUUUAGUUUUGUAUGAAAUAUUGGUUGGAAUCAAUUAUGAAGCAGUUUCCUGCAAGAAAAGAUGGCACAUAUGUUUUUGAAAGUAAUUGAGAGGGAGUGUGUUAGUUUUUUGCUUUGCUGUUUUGUCUAUUUUGUUUCAUUCCAUUUUUUUUGUUCUUUACUGAGGUUGGUAUAGGUGCUCAGAUAUCUGACCUGCAAUAGUUUUGAAUUGUUAGGAAUACCUACAGUGAGGAUAUGGACUAUACUCCAUUGGAAGAUCCUACACAGACGAAUGAAGCGAAGCUGUUGGAAAAUAAAUGGUCAAAAACUCAGCUGCAAGAAUUGACAGAGCAGAUGGGGCUUCUUUCCUCAGAUACAAAAACAGUUUGAUCCUGUUUUACCCAAUGUACAUUUGGUGUGUUCCAUGUGUAUGGACUUAUCAUUUAUCAUUUUCCGGUUACAACCGAAAGAGUCUUCCCCUCUUUUCCGUUCAUGUUUACAGUUUACUUUAUUUAAAGGAACUCUCAGUAUGAGUAUUUCUACUUGAUAAUGUCCACUUACUCGUUUUACUUGGUCAGUUUUAAGU